UACAGAGGUCUCAAGCGUUGUUCGGAUUCAUUGGGCGUAAAGGGUGCGUAGGCGGCGCGGUAAGUCGGGUGUGAAAUCUCGGAGCUUAACUCCGAAACUGCAUUCGAUACUGCCGUGCUUGAGGACUGGAGAGGAGACUGGAAUUUACGGUGUAGCGGUGAAAUGCGUAGAUAUCGGGAGGAAUACCGAUGGCGAAGGCAGGUCUCUGGGCUAUAACUGACGCUCAUGCACGAAAGCGUGGGGAGCAAACAGG
rnacentral:rRNA from 1 species